rnacentral:rRNA from 1 species
UAGCCGUAAACGAUACUCGCUAGGUGUCGGCCACGGUGCGACCGUUGUCGGUGCCGUAGGGAAGCCGUGAAGCGAGCCACCUGGGAAGUACGGCCGCAAGGCUGAAACUUAAAGGAAUUGGCGGGGGAGCACCACAACGGGUGGAGCUUACGGUUUAAUUGGAUUCAACGCCGGAAAUCUUACCGGGACCGACAGCAACAUGAAGGCCAGGCUGAAGACUUUGCCGGAUUAGCUGAGAGGUGGUGCAUGGCGUAGUCGUGU